ensembl:lncRNA
AAUAAUAAUAAUAAUAAUAAUAAUAAUAAUAAUAAUACACAGCAUGUAGGUGUAUACCAGUAUGCAGCUACCCUAUGUACAUGUGCAUCUUAUCUUUAUUUAUGGGUGCGGCUGAAUGUGACGGAUUUGCGGCCUGCCUUGUAACACCAACCAGCGCCACCAAAACAAGACAGAUAAACAAACAAACAAACAAACGAACGAACGGAAGACACAGGCUGGGCGAUGCGUAAUGAGAGACAUGCGGGAGCGCGCGCGCGCGCGCACGAUCGAGCGGCUGGUCUAAUUCGUGAGAUCGUGACGCGUUAAUAAAAACAAAAUGGUGGAGCCGCUGCUGUAGGGGCAAACUAAACAGCCUGCACAGCCGGGCGAAAUUAGAAAGAGGUGCAAUUUAUUGCGGCCUCGUCAUAUGUGCAUCAGUGCGAGCGAUGCACGCACGCACGCGCGCGCGCGCGCAUCCCGACUUAUGCACAGACGAGCGGAAACCGGGCCUUUAGAUCAUCAUGGUCAUCCUUCCUUCCAUCCAUCCAUCCAUGCACACGCUAUCGCUAUACACACAUCCUUAAUAAAUUACACCGGGAUAAAUGCACCGCGCGUUAUUGAUGUUACCUCUCAUACAGGCACGAGGGGGUGGGGGUAUCGGGGGAGGGGGACACGGCAAGCACGCGCACCAACACCGACUCCGACACAGGUCCCUCCCUUCUUCUUCUUCUUCUUCUUCUUCUUCUUCAGUACCGGGCUCCACUAUAAACCCUCUCCUUUUAUUCCACGGCGUAAUGCGUUGUUUUUUCUCUUUUAAAGAAAUCCACCGACUGGUCACGAGCAAAACGGAAGCAAGGAAGACACCCGUGAUGUCGCCAUCGUCGCUCGCGCUCAGCAGCGGAUGAACCGAAUGACCCUGAACGGGAACGGAGAGCUACGCAGACGAGACACCAGUGGUAGAGAUGAUGGAGAUGAGGCGGGAGGAAGUAUCAGUUGUGGCAGAGGACAGACACGCAGAGAGUCCGAUUUCUCGUCUCGGGUAACCGGAGCGGGUCUAAACCGCUGGUCUGUUCUAUCUUACUGAUGACCACAAAGGCACAAUAGAGGCAAGAGGCACUACUAAAACAAUCCAGAGUGGUUCUGAAUCUUCUACAGAGUUUUGCGGCCAGGCAGAGACGUGAAGGGACUGUAUCCUGGACAGCUAGCCAGAGCUCACAUCAUUCCCUCACCACCAUGGCAGAG